UUGGACUGGAGGCCGAGCGCUGAAGAGGUUGGGCGCGGUCCGCGCGAGGCACAUUGGCCAUGGCAGGGAAUUCGCGACGCGAGCAGGGAGGACUGGAGGGAGCAUCGUGCGCAGAGAAAUCGGCUGGGGAGUGGGAGGCCGCGGCAGAGGGAGCUGGAAGGGACCGCGGCGCUGGGAAGAAGGCUAAGCCGGAGCUCCACAGCGCGCAGGGAGAACACUGAGCUCGCACGCAGGGGAAAGGGCCGAGCAGGUUCGAGCGCCAGACAUGGAGGGAGCCGUGGCUUGCGAUGGCGAGCAGAGCAGAGGCCAGGAGCGCGCGGAGGGAGAGAUAAAGAGAUGGAAUCGGCUAGAAAAAUCAGAGCUGGGGAAGAAGUAGAUAAGCACCGCGAGGAAGAAAAAAAUCCUGGACGACGGCUGGAGAUGACGACGCGCGCAGGAAAAUCAGAGGGAGAGAGAUAA
rnacentral:misc_RNA from 1 species